AGUGAACGCUGGCGGUAGGCCUAACACAUGCAAGUCGAACGGCAGCACAGUAAGAGCUUGCUCUUACGGGUGGCGAGUGGCGGACGGGUGAGGAGUACAUCGGAAUCUACUUUUUCGUGGGGGAUAACGUAGGGAAACUUACGCUAAUACCGCAUACGACCUACGGGUGAAAGCAGGGGAUCUUCGGACCUUGCGCGAUUGAAUGAGCCGAUGUCGGAUUAGCUAGUUGGCGGGGUAAAGGCCCACCAAGGCGACGAUCCGUAGCUGGUCUGAGAGGAUGAUCAGCCACACUGGAACUGAGACACGGUCCAGACUCCUACGGGAGGCAGCAGUGGGGAAUAUUGGACAAUGGGCGCAAGCCUGAUCCAGCCAUACCGCGUGGGUGAAGAAGGCCUUCGGGUUGUAAAGCCCUUUUGUUGGGAAAGAAAAGCAGCAGGUUAAUACCCCGCUGUCCUGACGGUACCCAAAGAAUAAGCACCGGCUAACUUCGUG
rnacentral:rRNA from 1 species